rnacentral:lncRNA from 1 species
AUAGUUAUCACAUUUCACAAACCAUAUAAAGAAAUCCAGUAAAAGGAUUACACUUAUUGUGUUAAUUUUUUUUACUUUGUGGUUUACAUUGUUCAUGUUAAUAAUGUGAAGGGAUCCUUUAUAUAUAUGUAUAUCUGUUUAUAUAGAUUUUUAUUCUUUUAUGUUAUAACUCAGGUUGAAAUGAAAUUGAGAAUGUUUGUAGUCUGAAAUUUGAGAUAUAAAAAUGCUAUUUCAUAAGGUAAAAGGCCUAGAUACUUCAUAUCUUGCAAACAGAUACCAUACUAUUAUAAGUUAUAUGGUUCACUUCUGGACCCCUACGGAUCCAAAGAGGGUUAGUAAAAUUCAUAGGGGUAAGACCGGAGGCCGAAUCCCCUAUGGAUUUUAUUCACCCUCUAUCAAUCCGUAGGGGUCAGUAGUUAACCGUAUAACAAAUUUAUCGCACGCUGGACUUUUUCUGCUGCAUUUUGUUGAAAAAUAAACAUUAAAACACAACAACAUUUAUAGAUGACGUCACCAUUAACGCGUCAUGAACCCCCUAUGAAUUUACUAACCCCCUACGGUCUCAUAGGGGGUCCACCGGUGACGGCAUUAAACCAAUCACAACAUGCUAAUUUACCAGUGGUGCGAUAAUUGUUCUUUAUUUCCUUCUUGCCUAUUUGUGUUGUCCUUGGCAUCAUUUUCAAGGUUCAGCCAUUAAAGAAAAAACAGUAAUGUUUUUUACCGGUAUCGACAACAGCCAAAUUUUAGAUAUGCCUUGACACCGCUUCCUGUUUGUCAAUAGGUUCAAAUUUUGCAAAAAACAGAAAAUUUUUGUUAAACUUUUCUUGGCUUUUUUCCAAG